GACGAACGCUGGCGGCGUGCUUAACACAUGCAAGUCGAGCGGUAAGGCCCUUUCGGGGGUACACGAGCGGCGAACGGGUGAGUAACACGUGGGUGACCUGCCCUCAGCUCUGGGAUAAGCCUGGGAAACUGGGUCUAAUACCGGAUAUGACUCCACGGUGCAUGUCGUGGGGUGGAAAGCCUUGUGCGGCUGAGGAUGGGCCCGCGGCCUAUCAGCUUGUUGGUGGGGUGAUGGCCUACCAAGGCGACGACGGGUAGCCGGCCUGAGAGGGCGACCGGCCACACUGGGACUGAGACACGGCCCAGACUCCUACGGGAGGCAGCAGUGGGGAAUCUUGCGCAAUGGGCGAAAGCCUGACGCAGCGACGCCGCGUGAGGGAUGACGGCCUGGUGUA
rnacentral:rRNA from 1 species